rnacentral:rRNA from 1 species
GACGAACGCUGGCGGCGUGCUUAACACAUGCAAGUCGAACGGAAAGGCCCUGCUUUUGUGGGGUGCUCGAGUGGCGAACGGGUGAGUAACACGUGAGUAACCUGCCCUUUACUUUGGGAUACCUUCAGGAAACUGGGGCUAAUACCGGAUAUGAGCUCCUGCUGCAUGGUGUGCGUCGGAAAGUUUCGGCGGUUGGGGCUGUACUCGCGGCUUAUCGGCUUGUUGGUGGGGUAGUGGCUUACCAAGGCUUUGACGGGUAGCCGGCCUGAGAGGGUGACCGGCCACAUUGGGACUGAGGUACGGCGCAGACUCCUACGGGAGGCAGCAGUGGGGAAUAUUGCACAAUGGGCGGAAGCGUGAUGCAGAGACGCCGCGUGCGGGAUGACGGCCUUCGGGUUGUAAACCGCUUUCGCCUGUGACGAAGCGUGAGUGACGGUAAUGGGUAAAGAAGCACCGGCUAACUACGUG